UGGUGUGAGGGCGAUCUGGCUGCAACAUCCGUCACCCCAUUGAUCGCCAGGGUUGAUUCAGCUGAUCUGGCUUGCUAGGCAGGAGUCCCCUUCCUCCUUCACCACUCCAUGUGCAUCCCUCCCAAAGCUAUGUGCUUGGUCAAAGAGUAUGACCAUCCCCAAUAGAGGAGGACCGAUCUUCAGUCAAGGGCAUACGAGUAGCUGUGCUCCCCUGUUAGAACCUCCAAGAAAGCUGUCAAGAUGCACUGUAUUAAAGGAUGCAAGAGCAAAGAUACUUAUUCUUAGGUCCAGUGACAUACUGCUACCCUACCAA
ensembl:misc_RNA 7SK 7SK RNA